rnacentral:rRNA from 1 species
CCUACGGGUGGCAGCAGUGAGGAAUAUUGGUCAAUGGACGCAAGUCUGAACCAGCCAUGCCGCGUGCAGGAAGACGGCUCUAUGAGUUGUAAACUGCUUUUGUACGAGGGUAAACGCAGAUACGCGUAUCUGUCUGAAAGUAUCGUACGAAUAAGGAUCGGCUAACUCCGUGCCAGCAGCCGCGGUAAUACGGAGGAUUCCAGCGUUAUCCGGAUUUAUUGGGUUUAAAGGGUGCGUAGGCGGUAGGAUAAGUUGGAGGUGAAAUCCGGAGGCUCAACUUCGGAAUUGCCUCUGAUACUGGUCUGCUAGAGAGUGGUUGCGGUAGGCGGAAUGUAUGGUGUAGCGGUGAAAUGCUUAGAGAUCAUACAGAACACCGAUUGCGAAGGCAGCUUACCAAGCUACUUCUGACGUUGAGGCACGAAAGCGUGGGGAGCGAACAGGAUUAGAUACCCUGGUAGUC